rnacentral:rRNA from 1 species
CGAAGCAACGCGAAGUAACCUUACCAGGUCUUGACAUCCCGAUGCUAUUUCUAGAGAUAGAAAGUUACUUCGGUACAUCGGUGACAGGUGGUGCAUGGUUGUCGUCAGCUCGUGUCGUGAGAUGUUGGGUUAAGUCCCGCAACGAGCGCAACCCUUGUCUUUAGUUGCCAUUAUUCAGUUGGGCACUCUAAAGAGACUGCCGGUGUCAAACCGGAGGAAGGUGGGGAUGACGUCAAAUCAUCAUGCCCCUUAUGACCUGGGCUACACACGUGCUACAAUGGUUGGUACAACGAGUUGCGAGUCGGUGACGGCGAGCUAAUCUCUUAAAGCCAAUCUCAGUUCGGAUUGUAGGCUGCAACUCGCCUACAUGAAGUCGGAAUCGCUAGUAAUCGCGGAUCAGCACGCCGCGGUGAAUACGUUCCCGGGCCUU